GCGGGAAUUAAUGUUGAUCUCGAGGAUUGACAGAACAUUUUGGUGACUCUGUUGUUGCAGUGGUCAAGAUAAUUAGCCUACUUGGUGGACAGAGCAAUCGGGAACAUGAAAACGGCUUAUUUAUUCGUUUUUGAAUAGAAAUCGAAGAAAAAAAAAGACUUGUUUUUUCUGUUUUUGCAUAUUAAACCAAAACACAGCUUUAUAUUUCAAUGAUCAAAUGUGGGUGGGGUUAAAUGAGGAAUGCCUGGUCAAGUGCACAGCCAACUAUUCCUGUCCUUUCAGAGCAGGAGGUCACCAUUACAACUUCAUCCUAUAAAUCCAAGUCAUUCAUUGAUUAAUACAUAGCUGCCCAUAAUAUUCCACAGUGCCAAGAUAAGUCCACUCCUUGCCGGUGACAAGCAUCCUCAUAACAUGACGCAGCCUCCACCAUGCUUGAAAAUAUGAAAAGUGGUACUCAGUGAUGUGGUGUGUUGGAUUUUCCCCAAACAUAACGGUGCCCUUCUUUGUGAAGCAUUGGAAAACCUCC